UACGGGGGGGCAAGCGUUGUUCGGAAUUACUGGGCGUAAAGGGCUCGUAGGCGGCCAACUAAGUCAUACGUGAAAUCCCUCGGCUUAACCGGGGAACUGCGUCUGAUACUGGAAGGCUUGAAUUCGGGAGAGGGAUGCGGAAUUCCAGGUGUAGCGGUGAAAUGCGUAGAUAUCUGGAGGAACACCGAUGGCGAAGGCAGGUCUCUGGGCCACUACUGACGCUGAGAAGCGAAAGCGUGGGGAGCGAACAGG
rnacentral:rRNA from 1 species